rnacentral:rRNA from 1 species
AAAGGAAUAGACGGGGACCCGCACAAGCAGCGGAGCAUGUGGUUUAAUUCGAAGCAACGCGAAAAACCUUACCAAGGCUUGACAUCGUAUGCAUAUCUAAGAGAUUAGAGAAAUGAUAGCAAUAUCACAUAUAGACAGAUGGUGCAUGGUUGUCGUCAGCUCGUGUCGUGAGAUGUUGGGUUAAGUCCCGCAACGAGCGCAACCCCUGUUGUUAGUUACCAAUAUUAAGUUAGGAACUCUAGCAAGACUGCCGUGGAUAACACGGAGGAAGGUGGGGAUGACGUCAAAUCAUCAUGCCUCUUACGCCUUGGGCUACACACGUGCUAUAAUGGCCAUUACAAAGAGCUGCAAUAUGGUAACAUGGAGCCAAUCUCAAAAAAAUGGUCUCAGUUCGGACUGUGGGCUGCAACCCGCCCACACGAAGUCAGAGUUGCUAGUAAUCCCGAAUCAGCAUGUCGGGGUGAAUGCGUUCCCGGGUCUUGCACACACCGCCCGU